AAAACUUGGCAGUUUUGAUGAGGGACUUACUUUAACAGCUGCUCCACUAUGCUUCUCCAUCUCUGUGCUAGACUGCAGUAUUUCAUUAGAUAGACACAGAGCCGCCAAAUGUUUAUCAUGUGAUGAUUCAUCUCUGCUUGGCCAUUGCAAGUUCCUUCUUUUCCUGUAUUUCCUGCUUGCAAGCAAUCCAUUCAGUGGUUAGUAUUGGUCCCGUAGAAACUAAAUUACAAGAUAAAAAAAAAAAAGGUGAUGUUCCCAUGAUAGGUGUGGUGAGAUUUCUGGAAAUCCAAUCUUUUUGUACUUGACAGUCAAAUGUUUUCAUCUACAAUUCAUUAUGAAAGAAAUAUUAUGUUGUCAAUUGUUUUUAGGAAAAAGUUUUCCUGCACCAGUGGCUGAACGAUGAGACGGUCCAGAUGUGAUCUCCCUCUCCCCCUAUUGGCUAGGGUGGCAAUGCGCCACAGUGAACAGGAAUCUGUUUUUAUUAAAAUAAAAAAUAGGAUUCUGUUCACCGUGGUUUCAGGAUAACUCGGUCCUUGUUUGUAUAUUAAAUCUAGGGAAAUCGUUUCUUGCAGCUUUGAAGACAUAUGUUAAGAUCAUGGAGUGAAUGCAUGAGUGAGCUUUCUUCUCCUCCUUCUGGUUGAUGUAACAUGUCGCAUUGUUUGGGAUUCUCCAUUUCCAAUUAUUUUCAUCA